rnacentral:tRNA from 1 species
UCCCUGGUGGCUCAGACAGUAAAGAAUCUGCCUGCAGUGCAGGAGACCCAGGUUCGAUCCCUGGGUUGGGAA